UGACAUCCCUGAAAAAAAAUAGUUUACUGCAAAAACAUUUGAUGGAAACCGGUUUAAAUCCGGUACAGCCCCCGCUACUGUAAUAGCCGACGAAACCUUAUACAAUGUCACUGGGAAACCGGGAAGACUAAAGGGAUUAGAUUGACGCUUAAGUCAGGAUACUUCAUUUGUAAUCCAAUCCUUC
rnacentral:ncRNA from 2 species